rnacentral:misc_RNA from 1 species
GAUGAAGAACGCAGCGAAAUGCGAUAAGUAAUGUGAAUUGCAGAAUUCCGUGAAUCAUCGAAUCUUUGAACGCACAUUGCGCCCCUCGGUAUUCCGGGGGGCAUGCCUGUCCGAGCGUCAUUGCUGCCCUCAAGCACGGCUUGUGUGUUGGGCCUCCGUCCUCCUCCCGGGGGACGGGCCCGAAAGGCAGCGGCGGCACCGCGUCCGGUCCUCGAGCGUAUGGGGCUUCGUCACCCGCUCUUGUAGGCCCGGCCGGCGCUUGCCGACACAUCAAUCUUUUUUCCAGGUUGACCUCGGAUCAGGUAGGGAUACCCGCUGAACUUAAGCAUAUCAAUAAGCGGAGGA